rnacentral:rRNA from 1 species
CCAAUAGCGUAUAUUAAAGUUGUUGCAGUUAAAAAGCUCGUAGUUGAAUUUCGGGGUUCUACCGUUGGUCGGGCUAUAGUCUGUACUGGCGUGUGGAAUUUCUACCUUCUGGGGAACCAUCAUGUUAUUAAUUUAGCGUGGUGGGAAAACCAGGACCUUUACCUUGAAAAAAUUAGAGUGUUCAAAGCAGGCUUACGUCUGAAUACAUUAGCAUGGAAUAAUAAAAUAGGACGGUGGUCCUGUUUUGUUGGUUUCUGAAUCACCGUAAUGAGUAAUAGGGAUAGUUGGGGGCAUUAGUAUUCAAUUGUCAGAGGUGAAAUUCUUGGAUUUAUUGAAGACUAACUUCUGCGAAAGCAUUUGCCAAGGAUGUUUUCAUUAAUCAAGAACGAAAGUUAGGGGAUCGAAGACGAUCAGAUACCGUCGUAGUCUUAACCAUAAACUAUGCCGACUAGGGAUCGGACGAUGUUAAUUUUUCUUGACUCGUUCGGCGCCUUACG